rnacentral:rRNA from 1 species
GAUGAACGCUGGCGGCGUGCCUAAUACAUGCAAGUCGAGCGAACGGACGAGGAGCUUGCUCCUCUGAUGUUAGCGGCGGACGGGUGAGUAACACGUGGAUAACCUACCUAUAAGACUGGGAUAACUUCGGGAAACCGGAGCUAAUACCGGAUAAUAUUUUGAACCGCAUGGUUCAAAAGUGAAAGACGGUUUUGCUGUCACUUAUAGAUGGAUCCGCGCGGCAUUAGCUAGUUGGUAAGGUAACGGCUUACCAAGGCAACGAUGCGUAGCCGACCUGAGAGGGUGAUCGGCCACACUGGAACUGAGACACGGUCCAGACUCCUACGGGAGGCAGCAGUAGGGAAUCUUCCGCAAUGGGCGAAAGCCUGACGGAGCAACGCCGCGUGAGUGAUGAAGGUCUUCGGAUCGUAAAACUCUGUUAUUAGGGAAGAACAUAUGUGUAAGUAACUGUGCACGUCUUGACGGUACCUAAUCAGAAAGCCACGGCUAACUACGUG